rnacentral:rRNA from 1 species
GAUGAACGCUGGCGGCGUGCCUAAUACAUGCAAGUCGAGCGAACGGACGAGAAGCUUGCUUCUCUGAUGUUAGCGGCGGACGGGUGAGUAACACGUGGAUAACCUACCUAUAAGACUGGGAUAACUUCGGGAAACCGGAGCUAAUACCGGAUGAUAUUUUGAACCGCAUGGUUCAAAAGUGAAAGACGGUCUUGCUGUCACUUAUAGAUGGAUCCGCGCUGCAUUAGCUAGUUGGUAAGGUAACGGCUUACCAAGGCAACGAUGCAUAGCCGACCUGAGAGGGUGAUCGGCCACACUGGAACUGAGACACGGUCCAGACUCCUACGGGAGGCAGCAGUAGGGAAUCUUCCGCAAUGGGCGAAAGCCUGACGGAGCAACGCCGAGUGAGUGAUGAAGGUCUUCGGAUCGUAAAACUCUGUUAUUAGGGAAGAACAUUUGUGUAAGUAACUGUGCACAUCUUGACGGUACCUAAUCAGAAAGCCACGGCUAACUACGUG